UAUUGUGAACAGUGUUGAAAGGAACAUAGGAGCGCAGAUAUCUCUUUCACAUACUGAUUUCAAUGACUUCAUAUAUAUAUAUUUAUAUAUAUGAUAUAUAUAUUAUAUAUAAAAUAAGUGGGAUUGCUGGAACAAAAUGGUAUUUUUAUUGUUAAUUUUUGAGAAACCUCCAUACUGUUUUCCAAGGUGGCCAUACUAAUUUACAUUCCCACCACCAGUAUACAAAGGUUCCCUUUUCUCCACAUCCUUACCAACACUUGUUAUCAUCCAUCUUUUUGAUAAUAGCUAUUCUAACAGGUGUGAGGUGAUAUUUCUUGGUUGUUUUCAUUUGCAUUCCCGUGAUGACUAGAGAGGGUAAGAAUUGUUUAUAUAUAUGUUGUCCAUUUGUAUCUCCUUUUUCGACAAAUGCUUGCUCAUAUAUCUUUGUUCAUUUUUAUGUUUUUAAUUUUUAUUUUAGACACAGAGGAUACAUGUGCAGGUUUGUUACAUGGAUGUAUUGUGUGCUGCUGAGGUUUACAGUAUGAAUGAUCUCAUCACACAUGUAGUCAUGAUUCAGGUUGGAAGGCCUGCUGACGACCCCCUGUGGCCGUUUUCCGAGCUUUCCGGUCAUAAGCCGUUUCCUAAAAAUGCUUCCACUGCAGUGGCACAGGCUAUGGCAGCAUUUCUAAUGCGCAGUGGGAACAGCCUGUGCAAGCUCUGAGGUGGCCACGGGCUGGCACUUGGAACGGAGGGCAGAGGGGAAAACAUUUUAGCCAUAUUAAAGGUGAAUGCAGCAA
rnacentral:lncRNA from 1 species